AUAUUAAUGUCUGAUUUUCACGUUAGGUGAGCGUCGUUAUCAUCAAUAGGAACGUUCGAAUGGAGACCGUGGUGCUUGUGGGGUGUUGUGAUCUCUUUUUCGCGGUCGAUAUAUCUAAUGACGAAUGCAACGGAUUUGUGCACAGCUUGCGCAAACCAUGGAUCAUCUAGGUAGAGUCAUUGCCGUUACUCUAUAUAUAUAAUUUUUUGCUCUUUGGAUAUAUGGGGGCAACUUGUACUUCAAUUAGUAGCACACAUCCAAGAUAUAUUGCAAUUGUAGUUGAUGCCCAUUUUCUUUGGUAAAGCUAUUUAUUCAAUGCAUGAGAGAGCGAGAGAUCUUUUGGCAGAGGGAUUUCAUCUCCAUACUGAUGUCUGGUUUUCACAGCAGACAAAUGUCGUUAUCAGUAGAGAUGCUCAAAUGGAGACUGUGUUGCUCGUGUGGUGUGUGAUUUAUUUUCCACGGUCAAUAAUAUAUCUGAUGAUGGAUGCAAUAGAUUUGCACAUCGCUUUCACAACCCCACAGAUCAUGUGGGUGGAGUCAUUGUAGACUGAGCUCUUUAUCAUAUACAUAACGAGUUUGAUAUGGCAAAAAUAAACCGUGAUUAUGAUGAGAUAUAAUAGGUAAUAGUAAUGCAACAUACAUAAUGGACAUGUCAUGUGGAUAUUUCUUUUUUGCUUGUUCUUAUUGGUUUAUCGGUCGGCAAAAGACUGUUAAUUUCUCUCCUUCAGAGGGAAGGUUUUUCUUGCGUUUGGAAUGCCCUCUCGGAAUGUGCACGGUGCAACCAAACUCGCCCGUUUACACAAGAAAGAACGGCAAUUCGUGCAUGGACGAAACAUUUCUUCGCUUUCGCGGUGUUUUUCCCAGCAUUCCCAUCUCGCGAAAGAAAAAAACACUGGAAAUAGCAUCAACAUCUCCCACAGAACAAUCGAUGCUGUGGGGACCUGUUGCGAAAGAUAGAAAAAUUUGGCAGCUGAUGUUAGAAGAAAGGCCUUAUAGUUGAGGACCCACCCCGAAAAUGAUCAGAGUCUUCACCAAACGAUCAAAAGGCAACUCGUAAUUAUGCAGGCUCGAAGAUGGAAACGCUGCAGCCUGGUUUGGCACGACGCCAUACACGGCCGAAGGUUGGUCACAGACUAAUCAAGCCCUAAAGAGAUGCUCAGCCUCUUUCAAAGUAAAAUAUAAGCUCUGUCAGGUAAGCGGCUGGUUUCGGUCAGUUCCUUGAGAGGCAAAGGUCCUGUCAGGCGCGAAACCCAGGGCAAGAGACGACCCAACAAUUUAGCUUCCCAUUAAACUUGAGAUCUUAUGAGCGAUGGAGUUACUGUUGGAUGCAGAGAGGACGUGGUGCUGGCCCUACAAAAGCAAGAAUUCGUUUCAUGCGUUGGUCUCAUUUGAUCAUUUUCAAUGAGCUUGUUUCUGUAUAAAAUAUCAUCUCCUCUUAAAUUGUUGUAUUUCAGAUGUUAACCCAUUUUGUAGACAAAAAUCUCAUCCCACCUGUUAAAAUAUUUCACAUCAUUUAAUGGUGGAUUUAUAUGCUCUUUAUACA